CGACCCUCUGGAUCCCUCGCUCCUUGGGGCGAGGGCCUUCCAGGCCUUGGGCCAGCGCGUGCCGCCUCCUGGCGCGCGCGGCCCGCAGACCAGCGGCGGCAGCACCGGAGACGUCCCUGCGCAGUAGCUAAAGCUCGCAUCGGACUCCUGGUGGUGCCCGCCUCGGGAAGGCUCCCUGCAGCCCCCGGCAACCAUAUUUUACA
rnacentral:misc_RNA from 1 species